GUCCAUUAACAUACACCGCAGAUCCCUAAUCCUUACGCUGGACAUUCUCCUCUCCUCUGAAAUCGAUUCGUCGGUGUAACGAUCUCUUUUCCGUUUCUAGGGAUUCAUCACCAAAAUUCAAGCGUGGUUUGUGACAUAUCUGUCGAUUGAGUUCGGAUCUGGGAUCCAGAGCUUUUGGUUUGGAUAAUUUGAAAUCCUAACCAUGUACAACGGAAUAGGGUUACAGACCCCGCGAGGAUCUGGCACGAACGGGUACAUACAGUCGAAUAAGUUUUUCGUGAAGUCGAAGACGAACAAGGUCGUCACUGAUUCGAGCAAGGGAUUUGAGUCGGGCCAAGGAACAGCCGGCGUUACUCGAAAACCCAAUAAGGAGAUAUUGGAGCACGAUCGCAAGCGUCAGAUUGAACUCAAGCUUCUCGUGUUGGAGGAUAAGCUGAUCGAUCAGGGAUACACCGAUGCCGAGAUUGCGGAGAAGCUGGAUGAGGCGAGGAAGUCACUCGAGGCCAAGGACAACGAAGAUGGGGAAAAUCUGUUAAUUUCAGAUAAGGUUUCUGAGACGCAGACACAUCAGGUAGCUGCAUUGAAAGAAAGGCAGAUGGAAACACUAAAAGCUGCACUUGGCAUAGAAUCAGAAGCAGAAAGAGAGAAGAAGCGGCUAGAUGCUGAGGCUCGAGCUUUUGGGGAGAAUCUUGAUGAACUUGAAUCUGGGGGCUUCCGCCCAAAGGAUGUUGCAGAUGGUCAGAAACAUCAUGGGAAAGAUGGAAGAGAUGAAAAUGAAGAUAUCCUGAAGGCUGUGAAGAAGAAUGAUUCUGGUAGAGAUAAGUCAAAACGUAGUAGUAAGGAAAAAAACAGGAGAGCUUAUGGCGAUUCAUCAGAUUCUGAUAGUAGUUUGAAACACGGAAGUAAGAAAAAACAUAAAAAGUACAGCAAAGGUAGUAGUAGCAGUGGUGAUGAUUCUGAUAUCGAUGUUAAGAAGAGAAGAAAGGAUUCCCCAAAAAUGCACAAGAAAAAGAAAGCUUCAAGACAUGAUAGCAGUUCUGAUUCAGAAUCUCUGUCUGAUUCUGAUUCAAGUUCAGAAUCUGAUUAUGACAGGAAGCGUGGGAAAUCUCGUGGAAAGUAUGACUCUGAUGAUGACUCUAAAUCUGGUGGAAGCCCGGAUAGGAGAAAACAGAAGGUAAAAAGAACUUCAAAAAGCAGGCAAUAUGACUCUGAUGAUGACAAUUCUGAUGAAGGCCGUGCACGUAAGGGUAAACAUGUGAAGAGCAGAAGGUAUGAUUCUUCUGAUGAUUAUAGUUCUGAUGACCAAACAAAAUACCAGCAGAAAGGGAAGCAGAGGCAUCCUUACUCAGAUGACGACUAUAAUUCUGACAAAGGUCCCAAAGACAAGAUGCAGAGGGGUAAAGAGCCUUCAAAGGUCAGACGGCAUGAUUCUGAUGAUGAUUUAGAUGCUGAUAGAUUAGAGAAACAUGGAAGAAGUUUAUCCAGGAAUGAACGACAAACUCACAGAUCAAAGGAUUCUCCAAAAGAUGAUGAGUGGAGAAUUGGGAGUGAAAGACAAAAAAAAGGUGGUAGAAGGCAGGGCCGAGAUGCUGAAUACGAUUCUGAUGAAAUAACCAAAAGACGACAUGAAAGAGCUGACAAAGAUGACUAUGAAAAAAAUACUGGUUCUGGAAGACAAGAGAAAGAUCACAUAAAACACCGACCUCGUGAUUCUGGUAAGGACAUUGAUCUCAAGAAUGAUGAUUCUCGAGACCGGGGUAGAAUUGAAGGAGUUGAAUCUCUUGGGAAGAACAGAAGUGGUCAUUAUGAUGAUUUACAUGGUAAAGGCAGGGACAGAGGUUACGGAUAUGAAACUCGUGAUAGGGAGAAAGAGAGGGUAAAGGGUGAUGAUGCACUUGACACUUUUAAAAAAUUGGAACAACUCUAUAGCGUGAAGGGUGAUGAAUCUGACAACAGAGAUGAUGAUUUUGCUAGGGGUGAGAGGAAAAUCUAUGAUGGAAAUGAGAGUGAACAGUAUGAGAGAAGGUCAAGGAGACAUGACUCAGCUAGAGAAACAGGGCAUGGGCGGACAAAGAUUGCAUCUGAGAUACACAGUAGCAAAGAUUUGAAGCCAGCAAGAUCUGGUGCAGACACUGCUGAUGCUGAUGGCCAUGAGGAUGCAAUUCGUAGUGGGGAUGCGUCUCGGCACUCAGAUAAAAGAGGUGAUCGAGACCAUGAAGGCUAUGAACGCCGUAGAAGUGACAGAGGUGAAGCAGAGGACCGCAGGGAAAGAAAGCGUGAAAGGUAUGGAGAUGAGGAGGCAGUGUACAAGAAAGAUCGUGAAUAUCGGCGAGAUGGACAUGGAAGGGAUAGGGAAGAUGAUCGUGAAGAUGGAAAAACUGGUAGAGAUGAACGCAGCUCAAAGAGAGCUAGGUAUGAAGAAGGGCGUUCUAGCGGCCGGAGGUAUGAUGACGACAAGAAUGUGGAUAGGCGGUCCCGACACAGAUACUAAGUGUUAAGCUGUCCUUAUGUUUGAGUAUGUGAGGUGAAAUCUUACAUGGUGUAUCCAUUAUAUGUUAGAGCUGAAAAUCACAAGAGAAAGACUUAUUACGGGGUUUGAUUGAUGUCUACUGCAAUGAUUUGCUUGCUGUUAAGAGGAUUUGGAUCGAUUGAACGAACUCUUGUAGAUUUGGAAUAGUGAUUUUGGCUCUUGGUGAUGCUUGCGGAUACUGCUUGAGUUCCAUCAAGAUCGACAUUUCCUCCAGCACCAUGGCAGACGCUAGCACAAAUUUCACGGACAUCUUUUCAGCUUUGAUCCCACAGAACCCCAGCAUCUCGACACUUUGGAGACGGGCUAGGGACACGGAUGUCUCUUGUUGUUGCAGAAAAUUCGCAACAAAUCAGACUUUGAGCGAAAAGAGUUCAGAGAUUGAUUGUCUGUAGAGCAGGAAGGAACUCAAUUGUGAUCUUGAGCUUCUGCAAAUUGGGGCAGCUACGCAUGAAGCAAAUGGCAGCCGACGCCUGUGUAGGCUUCUGGAAAUACAUAUCGACGAGGUGAAGGCUUCUCAGGUGUUUCAUAGACGUGGGGAGCCUCCAAUCGAUCUCAGCUACAGCUACAGCUACAGCUACAGUUACAAUGAGAAUUAAAAUUACAGAAGGUGAAGAAAUUAUUAAGGGGAAGGGAUAGUAAUAGUAAUAGUAAUAGUAAUAGAAUGAUAGAUAAUAUGGAUCGAAAGCAGAAUGAAAGUUGAAGUAGACGACCAAGAAAACUGUAGCUGGUAGCUGGAUACAAAAAUAUCUUUCAUUUUGUAUAUAGGAAAUUGUAUUUGUGUUCAACAAAACUCAUUCUAUCAAUAU